rnacentral:rRNA from 1 species
UACGUAGGUGGCAAGCGUUGUCCGGAUUUACUGGGCGUAAAGAGCGCGCAGGCGGUCAGAUAAGUCGAAUGUGAAAAGCCCCCCGGCUCAACUGGGGAGGGUCACGCGAUACUGUUCGACUCGAAGGCAGGAGAGGGAAGUGGAAUUCCCGGUGUAGUGGUGAAAUGCGUAGAUAUCGGGAGGAACACCAGUGGCGAAGGCGACUUCCUGGCCUGUUCUUGACGCUGAGGCGCGAAAGCUAGGGUAGCAAACGGG